rnacentral:rRNA from 1 species
GACGAACGCUGGCGGCGUGCUUAACACAUGCAAGUCGAACGCUGAAGUCCUGGCUUUUGUUGGGUUGGGUGAGUGGCGAACGGGUGAGUAACACGUGAGUAACCUGCCCUCUUUUUUGGGAUAACGCCCGGAAACGGGUGCUAAUACUGGAUAUUCACUGGCCUUCGCAUGGGGGUUGGUGGAAGGGGUUGUUCGGGUGGGGGAUGGGCUCGCGGCCUAUCAGCUUGUUGGUGGGGUGAUGGCCUACCAAGGCUUUGACGGGUAGCCGGCCUGAGAGGGUGACCGGUCACAUUGGGACUGAGAUACGGCCCAGACUGGUACGCGAGGCAGCAGGGGGGAAUAUCGAUCAAGGGGCGAAUGCCUGCUGCGGCGACGCCGAGUGAGAGAUGGGGGGCUUGGGGUUGGAAAACUCUUUCGCUCAUCGUCAAGCCGCAACUGUGGGUUGGAGUGAGGGUAGUGGGUAAAGAAGCCCCGGCUAACUAUGUG